AUUGAACGCUGGCGGCAUGCUUUACACAUGCAAGUCGAACGGCAGCGCGGGCUUCGGCCUGGCGGCGAGUGGCGAACGGGUGAGUAAUGCAUCGGAACGUGCCCAGUAGUGGGGGAUAGCCCGGCGAAAGCCGGAUUAAUACCGCAUACGACCUGAGGGUGGAAGCGGGGGACCGAAAGGCCUCGCGCUAUUGGAUCGGCCGAUGUCGGAUUAGCUAGUUGGUGGGGUAAAGGCUUACCAAGGCGACGAUCCGUAGCUGGUCUGAGAGGACGACCAGCCACACUGGGACUGAGACACGGCCCAGACUCCUACGGGAGGCAGCAGUGGGGAAUUUUGGACAAUGGGGGCAACCCUGAUCCAGCCAUGCCGCGUGCGGGAAGAAGGCCUUCGGGUUGUAAACCGCUUUUGUUCGGGAAGAAAUCCUCUGGGCUAAUACCCCGGGGGGAUGACGGUACCGGAAGAAUAAGCACCGGCUAACUACGUG
rnacentral:rRNA from 1 species